CUUCCGUAGGUGAACCUGCGGAAGGAUCAUUACCGAGUGAGGGCCCUCUGGGUCCAACCUCCCACCGGGGGUUUAUUUUACCUUGUUGCUUCGGCGGGCCCGCCUUAACUGGCCGCCGGGGGGCUUACGCCCCCGGGCCCGCGCCCGCCGAAGACACCCUCGAACUCUGUCUGAAGAUUGUAGUCUGAGUGAAAAUAUAAAUUAUUUAAAACUUUCAACAACGGAUCUCUUGGUUCCGGCAUCGAUGAAGAACGCAGCGAAAUGCGAUACGUAAUGUGAAUUGCAAAUUCAGUGAAUCAUCGAGUCUUUGAACGCACAUUGCGCCCCCUGGUAUUCCGGGGGGCAUGCCUGUCCGAGCGUCAUUUCUGCCCUCAAGCACGGCUUGUGUGUUGGGCCCCGUCCUCCGAUCCCGGGGGACGGGCCCGAAAGGCAGCGGCGGCACCGCGUCCGGUCCUCGAGCGUAUGGGGCUUUGUCACCCGCUCUGUAGGCCCGGCCGGCGCUUGCCGAUCAACCCAAAUUUUUAUCCAGGUUGACCUCGGAUCAGGAGGAGGGU
rnacentral:rRNA from 1 species